UAUUCUGCCCCACGGGGAAGGAUGAGAAGCUUCGACUAAGGUUCGACUCGAGCGAAGCGAGAGAACGUUGCCGCAGGCAACGGCCCGAAGGGCGAGGAGCGAUAGCGACGAGUUAUCCUUCCCCCACCAUCA
rnacentral:sRNA from 1 species